ACGUAGGGCGCAAGCGUUGUCCGGAAUUAUUGGGCAUAAAGAGCUCGUAGGCGGUCUGUUGCGUCCGCUGUGAAAUCUCGGGGCUUAACCCCGAGCCUGCAGUGGAUACGGGCAGACUAGAGGUAGGUAGGGGAGAAUGGAAUUCCUGGUGUAGCGGUGAAAUGCGCAGAUAUCAGGAGGAACACCGGUGGCGAAGGCGGUUCUCUGGGCCUUACCUGACGCUGAGGAGCGAAAGCGUGGGGAGCAAACAGGAUUAGAUACCCUGGUAGUCCACGCUGUAAACGUUGGGCGCUAGGUGUGGGAUCCUUCCACGGAUUCCGUGCCGCAGCUAACGCAUUAAGCGCCCCGCCUGGGGAGUACGGCCGCAAGGCUA
rnacentral:rRNA from 1 species